CAACUUGAGAGUUUGAUCCUGGCUCAGAGCGAACGCUGGCGGCAGGCCUAACACAUGCAAGUCGAGCGCCCCGCAAGGGGAGCGGCAGACGGGAGAGUAACACGUGGGAACGUACCCUUCGGUUCGGAACAACCCAGGGAAACUUGGGCUAAUACCGGAUACGUCCGUAAGGAGAAAGAUUCAUCGCCGAGGGAUCGGCCCGCGUCUGAUUAGCUAGUUGGUGGGGUAAUGGCCCACCAAGGCGACGAUCAGUAGCUGGUCUGAGAGGAUGAUCAGCCUCACUGGGACUGAGACACGGCCCAGACUCCUACGGGAGGCAGCAGUGGGGAAUAUUGGACAAUGGGCGCAAGCCUGAUCCAGCCAUGCCGCGUGGGUGAUGAAGGCC
rnacentral:rRNA from 1 species